GUGAAAAAAUUGUGAAAUCUCCAUAUAAUCUUCUAAUAAGGUGAAGAGUCUCUACAAGUCGCCGUAAACGACUUACUAUGGCCAUAUACUUUUGGUUU
rnacentral:ncRNA from 2 species